rnacentral:rRNA from 1 species
UACGUAGGGAGCUAGCGUUGUUCGGAAUUACUGGGCGUAAAGCGCACGUAGGCGGCUUUGUAAGUUAGAGGUGAAAGCCUGGGGCUCAACCCCAGAAUUGCCUUUAAGACUGCAUCGCUUGAAUCCAGGAGAGGUGAGUGGAAUUCCGAGUGUAGAGGUGAAAUUCGUAGAUAUUCGGAAGAACACCAGUGGCGAAGGCGGCUCACUGGACUGGUAUUGACGCUGAGGUGCGAAAGCGUGGGGAGCAAACAGG